AUGGGACCAGGUUGCUGCAUAUCAGACUGGAUAAUGCGGAGACCUGAUGGCGCUCCAAAGGCUGUCCUGGCACUGAGGGGAACUGUCCUGAAGCAGUCGACCGUUGCGAGAGACUUGGAGGAUGACCUCAGGUACUUUGCCCAGGAGAGCUUGAGGGGUUCUGUCAGGUUCGCUGGAACACUGGAGGUUUUCAAGUCGGCAAUCGAUAAGCAUGGAAGCAACAAUGUGUGCGUUGCAGGGCAUUCCCUAGGGGCAGGAUAUGCUAUGCAGGUUGGUAAGACUUUGGCGAAGGACGGAGUCUUCGUAGAAUGCCAUUUGUUUAACCCACCAUCAGUGUCACUCGGCCUGGGCCUGAGGAAGCUUCAGGAUAAAGUCGACAAGGUCUUGAAGCGAUACAUCAGCGGCAGCUCUUCGAAUGCCGUUGAAAGUUCUCACCCGGGACAGGAGGAAACUGUUUCUGAAAUUGGAGAAGAAAAUCUGAUCAAGGAGGUGAAGAGAUGGGUGCCGAACCUGUACAUCAACAACAGCGACUACAUUUGCUGCUUCUAUGUUGACCGUAGUGGCGUACCAACUGUUACUGCCGAGAAGCGCGGCGAUGGUCACCCCGUGGCGCGUGCCAAGGUUUUUGUGAUUGCGAAAGGGCCACAGAAGUUUCUAAAAGCUCAUGGGCUGCAGCAAUGGUGGAUGGAUGAUUCCGAGCUCCAUCUGGCUGUGAAUGAGAGCAAGCUCAUGUAUAAGCACCUCAAGUCCCUGUAUGUGAAAGAAACGUAG
rnacentral:rRNA from 1 species